rnacentral:misc_RNA from 1 species
UUUCCGUAGGUGAACCUGCGGAAGGAUCAUUACCGAGAACCGGCGCCCUCGUGGCCCGACCCUCAAACCACCGCGUACCGAACUUCAACGUUGCCUCGGCGGGGCCCUCGGGCACCGCCGCAGGACGCAACCAAAACCGUUUUGUGAGACGAACGUCUGAUAACCUUCUUCGCGAAUGCGAUAAAGUACAACUUUUAACAAUGGAUCUCUUGGCUCCGGCAUCGAUGAAGAACGCAGC